GGGCAAGUGGCGGAAUGGCAGACGCGCAGGUCUCAAAAACCUGUGAGCCGAAACGCUCGUGUGGGUUCGACUCCCACCUUGCCCA
rnacentral:tRNA from 1 species